rnacentral:rRNA from 1 species
GCAGUAGCCGCGGGAAUACGAAGGGUGCAAGCGUUAAUCGGAAUUACUGGGCGUAAAGCGCGCGUAGGUGGUUCAUUAAGUUGGAUGUGAAAGCCCUGGGCUCAACCUGGGAACUGCAUCCAAAACUGGUGAGCUAGAGUACGGUAGAGGGUAGUGGAAUUUCCUGUGUAGCGGUGAAAUGCGUAGAUAUAGGAAGGAACACCAGUGGCGAAGGCGACUACCUGGACUGAUACUGACACUGAGGUGCGAAAGCGUGGGGAGCAAACAGGAUUAGAUACCCGCGUAGUCCCUGUCUCUUAUAC